rnacentral:lncRNA from 10 species
GUGGCGUAGGCCGGACAUUUCUAGUCGACUGUUGCGCGUGCGCGCGCUGUGACGUUCCCUACGCGGUCGGGCGUUGGGUUUCGCGGCGCUCGCCGCACUGGUUGUUCAGCACCUUCGGUCCGGUUGAGGUUGUCAAGUCGGACCAAACAGGUUGUUUCUCUGCAGUUUCCAACAUGGCAGGGAGGUUUAAUAGACAUGGAUAAGAAGUCCACUCACAGAAAUCCUGAAGAUGCCAGGGCUGGCAAAUAUGAAGGUAAACACAAACGAAAGAAAAGAAGAAAGCAAAACCAAAACCAGCACCGAUCCCGACAUAGAUCAGUGACGUCUUUUUCUUCAGAUGAUCCUAUGUUUCCUUCUUCCUCAUCAUCGUCUUCAGGAAGCCAGACAGAUUCAAGUAUUGAAGAUGCUGCCAAGGGAAAAAUUAAGAAGAAGAGAAGAGAGAAAACAAAUAAAUGGGAAAAAAGAAAGGACAAAAUAUGAAACACCAAGAAAAAGAGAAGGAAAAAAAGGAGGAAACAACCACAUAUGUCACCUUUCCAAGAGGGACUGAAACUGGGCUGACCCUUUUGAUUUCCAAGCUCAGCGUUUUGGUGUAAGGCGGCCAAAGAAGGAUGCGGAGCCCAGCACUGUGAAGCCUACAAAAACAUUGAUGCGCUGGCUUGGGGAUUUGAAUUUGAACAUCUUUCACACUAAGUUCAGACUCAUGAAACCAAUCUUCAGAUGCUCUGUAAACCACAUAAUAAAGAGUUUGGAAAUUA